GUGGAUGUCCAAGCUUCCAUAGAAGAAGGAUGGAUGAUGGAUUGUACUUACCUCUCUCUCUCUCUCUCUCUCUCUCUCUCUCAUCACAUCAAUCCUGUUUACGCUGGAUGGCUAAUCUGUCUCUUUAUCGUUCUUCCAGGUGCCAUGAUCCUAUUAGCUCAGCGGAGGAUGAUGAGGAAGCCACGAUUAGGUCUCAAAAAUUCCUCUCUUACGUUACAUGGCGAGUUCUGCGGCCUAAUUAGCUCGCAUAUGUGCUCCUCUGAAGAAAAAAAGGAGAAGCAGACUGUUCAACUUUUGUUUCUCGGCUACUUCCGAUGGGCAAUCUGCGACCGAAACGUGUUUGAAGAAAUGUGCCUUCGAACAUGGCCCGAGCAUCGCGUGAUCAACCAUUAUUUUCGAUUUCCACCCUACCUGACAAGGGAUGAUGCAUCAAUGGGUGUGAAAGACCAGUCAUCGGAUGCCGCGAAUCAGCGUGACGUAACCUGGUUCGACAUUAAAUGUUUUGUGGAUUGCAUGUGCCAGUGUCCACGCCUGGCGUCGAAUCUCAGUAUGUAUUGUGACACCGAGAUAUCCAUGCACGGUGCCAUUACUCCGCCGACCGAGCACCUCCGCUCGCCACUAGCAUUGUAGCAGACUUCCUUUCAGACAACUCUUCCAUCAUAUGAUCCAAGAAAUACACCAAAGGCCUUCGAUAUGGCGGUAGGUCAGAUCCAACAGGAUCCUGAUAUUUCAAACAUGGAAGCUGAUGAAGAUGACAAUUGAGUGUUGGGAUUUCUUUGUGAAGAUGGAGCAAGCAAGCACAGUGGAGUUUCCGCAACUACAUGCCUUGGUAGUGCCGCUAUUCUGACGAGGUCUUCAUAGCUCUUCUCCUGUUUUGAUUAAAGAUCCGUUCUCUCAGGCAUCAAGUUUCUCUUUUUGAGGCUUUUUUGCAGGAAAAGUUUGAGCCAGAACAUGGAGAAGAAGACAUGGCACUCCACCACUUCUGCUACUCCAUUGGAUACAGCUGCGUUCCAUCUCGGAAAAGAAGAAAUCCGACAAGUAUCAUGUUGCAGCACAUAUAUCAUAACUGGGAAGCCUAGAGAAGAGGGAGUGGUCCUAACCGAGGGAUAUGCCUGAGCACAAAUGGUUAUCUCCUAUUCUCCUUCAAAACAAGGACAACAGUUUCAUUAUGCUGCUUGCUGUCAACUAGUUUGCUUCUCUCCUUCAGAGGUUUUGUUUAAGCAAAUGUUGCUUAAUGAUAAAGGUUGGGUGAAGAUAAUUUGGUAUUAUUGUGUGUAAAGGGUGGGUGGCUAAAGAAGAGAUGCAAUCAUGAAAGAGGCAAUGCACUUGAGGGCAUGGAUGAGAGUGGCCCUCAUCACCAGUGUUCCUGUGGUUGAUUGCAAUCAGCUUUGUUGGGGAACCUUCUCAAUGCCUGCUUUCCAAGUGCUAAGGGGAUGUAAAGCUCUGGAAGUGCUGUCUGUUCUCUCUGUUGAGUUUGCUUUGGUAUUCAGAGCUUGUGAUGCUAUAAACUCAUCAAAUAGGAUUUGUACUGAGAUCAUUAUACAAAAGUUUGAUCUGGUCUGAAGUGGGUCAGUAGAGAUUUGUGAGAGAAAUAUCAUGCAGAAUGAAGCUAUCAGCAAGGUCUUUAAAGUUGAACAGGAAAGUGGAGAGUAAGUCAAGUUUGAUACAGUUCUGUCAAGAUUAAAACAGGAACUUAUCAGCAAAGCAUCCACACUUGUACAGAAUUCAUUGUGGCAAUGUUUCACACAGGAGGAGAUCCCAUGAACAAGACAUGUCUCAGUAGCCAUGCAAGCAGCUGAAAGCUACCACAGUUGAAGCCUUUCUCUCAGAGGUGUGAGAAGGUAGGUUGGUAGGUCCACCUUUAUCGAGCUCAAUUCCUUGCUCUAGCUGUUUGACUGACCACAAGAAUGAACUAGAGAAAUGUUGAGUGUCUUAAACUAGAUAAAUGUUGCAUUUGUUACCACUAGAGAGUGGACAUAAUUAUUAUUAUCAUACAAAUAUGCCUAAACCCCAAUUUGAUUUUUUUUUU